rnacentral:lncRNA from 1 species
CAAGAUCUAUCUUUGAAUAUUCUUGUUGUUUGCUUAUUUCUUGAUAAAAAAAAAAAAUCUGGAUCUGAAUUGGUUGUUAAAGACAUUACCUACCAAAAAAAAUUGAAUUGGGAGACACAAAAUCAUUGUUGGACAAAGUCAUUACCUACCUAAAAUUGAAUUGGGAGACACAAAAGUCAUUGUUGGACUAAGUCAUUACCUACCUAAAUUGAAUUGGGAGACACAAACCAUCCACUUAUACCUUGUUAAGCCC